CCUACGGGAGGCAGCAGUGAGGAAUAUUGGUCAAUGGCCGAGAGGCUGAACCAGCCAAGUCGCGUGAGGGAAGACGGCCCUACGGGUUGUAAACCUCUUUUGUCGGGGAGCAAAGAGAGUCACGUGUGACUCAUUGAGAGUACCCGAAGAAAAAGCAUCGGCUAACUCCGUGCCAGCAGCCGCGGUAAUACGGGGGAUUCGAGCGUUUUCCGGAUUUGUUGGGUUUAAAGGGUGCGCAGGCGGAGGUGCAAGUCAGCGGUAAAAGUGCGGGGCUCAACCCCGUACUGCCGUUGAAACUGCAUGGCUUGAGUGCGCGAGAAGUAGGCGGAAUGCGUGGUGUAGCGGUGAAAUGCAUAGAUAUCACGCAGAACUCCGAUUGCGAAGGCAGCAUACCGGCGCGCAACUGACGCUCAGGCACGAAAGCGUGGGGAUCGAACAGGAUUAGAUACCCGUGUAGUC
rnacentral:rRNA from 1 species